CGCGUAGGCGGAAAUGUAAGUCAGAUGUGAAAUCCCGGGGCUCACCCCCGGAACAGCAUUUGAAACUACAUUCCUUGAGGGUAGGCGGAGAAAACGGAAUUCCACAAGUAGCGGUGAAAUGCGUAGAUAUGUGGAAGAACACCAGUGGCGAAGGCGGUUUUCUAGCUUAUUCCUGACGCUGAGGCGCGAGAGCAAGGGGAUCAAAACA
rnacentral:rRNA from 1 species